rnacentral:rRNA from 1 species
CCCUUAGAUGUUCUGGGCCGCACGCGCGCUACACUGACGAAGUCAGCGAGCAUCUCCUUCGCCGAAAGGUGCGGGGAAUCUUGUGAAACUUUGUCGUGCUGGGGAUUGAUUUUUGAAAUUCUUGAUCAUCAACGAGGAAUUCCUAGUAAGCGUGAGUCAUCAGCUCGCGUUGAUUACGUCCCUGCCCUUUGUACACACCGCCCGUCGCUACUACCGAUUGAAUGGCUUAGUGAGCCUUUGGGAUUGGCAGCUUGUACCGGCAACGGUAGCAGGCCGCUGAAAACUUAGGCAAACUUGGUCAUUUAGAGGAAGUAAAAGUCGUAACA